rnacentral:rRNA from 1 species
GAUGGGCCGCCGGAAAAACUGCAAAGCUAGGGAGUGGGAGAGGUAGACGGUACUCGGUAGGAAGGGGUAAAAUCCUUUGAUCUAUCGAUGACCACCAGUGGCGAAGGCGGUCUACCAGAACACGUUCGACGGUGAGGGAUGAAAGCUGGGGGAGCAAACCGGAUUAGAUACCCGGGUAGUCCCAGCUGUAAACGAUGCAGACUCGGUGAUGCACUGGCUUGUGGCCAGUGCAGUGCCGCAGGGAAGCCGUUAAGUUUGCCGCCUGGGAAGUACGUACGCAAGUAUGAAACUUAAAGGAAUUGGCGGGGGAGCACCACAAGGGGUGAAGCCUGCGGUUCAAUUGGAGUCAACGCCAGAAAUCUUACCCGAAGAGACAGCAGAAUGAAGGUCAAGCUGGAGACUUUACCAGACAAGCUGAGAAGUGGUGCAUGGCCGUCGCCAGCUCGUGCCGUGAGAUGUCCUGUUAAGUCAGGUAACGAGCGAGAUCCCUGCCUCUAGUUGCCACCAUUACUCUCAGGAGUAGUGGGGCGAAUUAGCGGGACCGCCGCAGUUAAUGCGGAGGAAGGAAGGGGCCACGGCAGGUCAGUAUGCCCCGAAAUC